AUGCGGUACACGGCUGAUGAUCUCAUUGUCGCGAUCACCGACAACGGGAAGUAUCCGGUCAUCAUAACCCGCCCAGGAAAGGACUCAUGGUUGCCUGGUACAUGGGAGUUCCCCUACAUCUACAUCAUCGACGUCGCGUUCUUGGGGGACAAGCUCUACGCAAUUACCAAGGCCGAGGAUCUCCUUGCAAUUGAUAUCGGUUCCGAUGAUGACAACAAGCCCACAGUUGUCCGUGGCACUCGUGUCAUUAGACACCCGCCGGCUUACAAUGAUUAUGAUGCGUGGUGCGAGGAAGAAGAAGCCGCGGGGGGAGAUGCAGACCAGGAGGAGGAAGAGGGUGUGGCGAUGAAUGACGACGACGAUGGAAGGGCAGUGAAUGAGCAAGAAACAAUGAAUAGAAAGGAAGACAAUAGUAUCGUAGAUGGCGUUGACUAUGCAUACGACGAACUCGGAGAUCGCAUCAUCAUCAUCCGCUACCUCGCCGAGUCACGGGGAAAGCUUUUCAUGGUGAGACGACGACUACAAACCCGUCGUCAGCAAUGUUGUUCCGACUUUACACUUGGGGUGGAUAUCUUGGAGGCCGAUGAGAGCGUUGGCGUGUGGGUGCCCGUCGUCGAUGGGCUAGGCGGUGGCCAAGCGUUGUUCAUCAGCAGACGCUUCUCUAGAUUCGUACCUACACCCAGCGGAGAUGUGCAUGAAUAUACCGUCUAUUUUGCCGACACGGGUGAGGAAUUUGAUGUGCGGUCUCAGACUUUUGGUCCAACAAGGUGGUGUAUGCCUUUCAGGGAACCAUCCUGGCUGUUUCCCACGCACGAGGCAGUUGUUUAG
rnacentral:rRNA from 1 species